AAGGGAGACCUAAUUCGGGUAUAAGACGAAAAAAGAGUAGUCGAAACCAAGAAUCAAUCCCAAAAGGUCGGAACGAGGUAUGUGGCUUUCAAACUAGGUUCUGGGUUCACACAAGACCUGAAUCAGGAACAAGGGCUAUUAGCUCAGGUGGUUAGAGCGCACCCCUGAUAAGGGUGAGGUCCCUGGUUCGAGUCCAGGAUGGCCCACCUGCACAGGUGGCAAAAGCAAAGAAGCGAGGAAUCAGCACCUUAUCUUAUCUAUAUAUAAGAGAGAAUGCUGGCUCUGAGUAAAGAGUCCAGAGGAACCUUGAAAACUGCAUAGAGCUAGGUGAAAAAGCCAAAAAAGAAGACCGCAA
rnacentral:tRNA from 1 species